AAGGCCUUAGUUUAAUUAAAACAUUUGAUUUGCACUCAUAAUAUGCGAGAUAGAGUCUUGUAGGUCUUA
rnacentral:tRNA from 1 species